rnacentral:rRNA from 1 species
AUUGAACGCUGGCGGCAUGCCUAACACAUGCAAGUCGAACGAGUGGCGGACGGGUGAGUAAUGUCUGGGCAACUGCCUGAUGUAGGGGGCUAACUACUGGAAACGGUAGCUAAUACCGCAUACCAUCAGAUGUGCCCAGAUGGGAUUAGCUAGUUGGUGGGGUAACGGCUCACCAGGGCGACGAUCCCUACCUGGUCUGAGAGGAUGACCGGCCACACUGGAACUGAGACACGGCCCAGACUCCUACGGGAGGCAGCAGUGGGGAAUAUUGGACAAUGGGCGAAAGCCUGAUGCAGCCAUGCCGCGUGUAUGAAGAAGGCCUUCGGGUUGUAAAGUACUUUCAUCGGGGAGGCGUUACCCGCAGAAGAAGCACCGGCUAACUCCGUGCCAGCAGCCGCGGUAAUAC